CACGCCACUGCCACCACGUCCUCCGCCCCCACUCCUUAUAUAACUGCCUCCUUGAUAUCCCCAUCUCAGCCAUCACUAAACCAACACUACUCUAUCUCUCUCUAAAUCUUCUCUUGUUCUUCCUGAGUCGGUAGCAAAAUCAACUAUGGCUGAAGAGGUUCAAAAGGCUCCCCAUGAAGCAGUGGUAGUUGUUGCUGAUGUUCCUCAGGCUGAGAAAAUGACACCAACUCCAGAACCACCGCUGCCAGUAAUGCCUGUGGUUGAGAAAGAGGCACCGCCAGUGCCGGAAACUGAGGAGGAACCGAUGAAGCCAAAGCUGCAGGUUGAGGAAGCUGUAGAAACUGAGGCAUCCAAAUCCAGUGGCGAGAAUGAUGAGAAGAUUCCUGAGUCUGUUUGUUUUAAAGAAGAGAGCACUAAAGUAACUGACCUUUCUGAUUCUGAGAAGAAAGGGCUGCAAGAGCUUAGAGAACUAGUUCAAGAAGCUCUUAACACGCAUGAAUUCGGUACUAAAAUACCACCAACACCAGCGGCAGCGGCCAAAGGAGAAGAAGGUAAAGAAGCUGUCGGGGCAGUGGAGGAGCAAAAACCAGUCCAGGAGGCAACACCGGCACCAGAAGAAGAACAUGUAAAGGCAGAGCCUGAAGUUGUAGCAGAAACAAAAGACGAAGUCGUAAAAGAAAAGAUUGAAACGGUGGAAACUGAGGUUACUGAAGAAAAGGCGGCUCCUGCUGCUACUGAUGCUGUAGACGAUGACGGUGCAAAGACUGUGGAAGCCAUUGAAGAGACAAUCGUAGCAGUCUCUUCUUCUGCUCCACAGGAGCAGAGUUUGCCCCUGGAAAAAGAGUCCGAAGCAAAGUCUGCAUCAACAGUGAAUGAGGAAGCAAAAGAUGUUAUAAUAGCCGCACCAGAGGACGUAUCCAUCUGGGGUAUUCCGCUUCUAGCAGAUGAAAGGAGCGAUGUGAUUCUUCUAAAAUUUCUGCGUGCAAGGGAUUUCAAGGUGAGAGAUGCAUUCACCAUGCUCAAAAACACUAUUCAAUGGAGAAAGGAGUUUGGCAUUGAUGAAUUGCUUGAACAAGACCUGGGUGAUGAUUUGGGGAAGGUGGUUUUUAUGCAUGGUUUUGAUAAAGAAGGGCACCCAGUAUGCUACAAUGUGUAUGGCGAAUUUCAAGACAAGGACCUUUACCAGAAGAGUUUUUCUGAUGAGGAGAAAAGGAACAGAUUCUUGAGGUGGAGAAUUCAGUUCCUGGAAAAGAGUAUCAGGAAAUUGGAUUUCAGACCUGGUGGGAUUUCCACCAUUGUUCAGGUUAAUGACUUGAAGAAUUCUCCUGGACCUAGUAAGAGGGAACUAAGACAAGCUACCAAGCAGGCACUUCAAUUGCUCCAAGACAACUAUCCUGAAUUUGUAGCAAAACAGGUGUUCAUCAACGUGCCUUGGUGGUACCUGGCAGUUAAUAAAAUGAUAAGCCCAUUUUUGACUCAGAGGACUAGAAGCAAGUUUGCAUUUGCUAGCCCUUCCAAAUCUGCAGAGACCCUUUUGAGGUAUAUUGCCGCUGAGCAAAUACCACUUAAAUACGGAGGACUGAGUAAAGAUGGGGAGUUUUGCACAGCCGAUGCUGUUACUGAGAUCACAAUGAAGCCAGCAGCAAAGCACACUGUUGAAUUCCCUGUUUCUGAGACAUGCCUGUUAACUUGGGAAGUCCGAGUAGUGGGAUGGGAUGUGACCUAUGGGGCAGAAUUUGUGCCUAGUGCUGAAGAAAGCUACACAGUAAUAAUUCAGAAGGCAAGAAAGCUUACUGCAACUGAAGAACCAGUAGUCUGCAACAGUUUCAAAAUCGGCGAGCCGGGUAAGGUUGUGAUCACCAUUGACAAUACAACCUCAAAGAAAAAGAAGCUCCUUUAUCGUCUGAAAACAAAGGUCUCUGCUGAUUGAACCAGCACAGGGUGAAAGGGUUUGGAUA
rnacentral:misc_RNA from 1 species